GGGCGUGUGGCCUAGUCUGGAUAGGGCGGCAGCCUCCUAAGCUGCAAAUCGCGGGUUCAAAUCCCGUCACGUCCG
rfam:Candidatus Syntrophoarchaeum caldarius isolate BOX2 BOX2_8_reassembly_contig04, whole genome shotgun sequence.